rnacentral:rRNA from 1 species
GAACCGUGCGAACGUUGUUCGGAAUCACUGGGCUUAAAGGGCGCGUAGGCGGGCCGACAAGUCCGGGGUGAAAGCCCCCAGCUCAACUGGGGAAGCGCCUUGGAUACUUUUGGCCUGGAGGGAGGUAGGGGCGUGCGGAACUUCCGGUGGAGCGGUGAAAUGCGUAGAUAUCGGAAGGAACACCGGUGGCGAAAGCGGCGCGCUGGACCUCUUCUGACGCUGAUGCGCGAAAGCCAGGGGAGCAAACGGGAUUAGAUACCCCGGUAGUCCUGGCCCUAAACGUUGGGCACCAGGUUGUGGACUUGCAUGGGUUCACAGCCGGAGCAAAAGUGUUCAGUGCCCCGCCUGGGGAGUAUGGUCGCAAGGCUGAA